UACGGAGGUGGCAAGCGUUGUUCGGAAUUACUGGGCGUAAAGGGCGCGUAGGCGGCUAGGCAAGUCAGGUGUGAAAGCCCCGAGCUUAACUCGGGAAUUGCAUCUGAAACUGCUGUGCUUGAGUUCUGGAGGGGGUAGUGGAAUUCCCAGUGUAGCGGUGAAAUGCGUAGAUAUUGGGAGGAACACCUGCGGCGAAGGCGGCUACCUGGACAGAAACUGACG
rnacentral:rRNA from 1 species